rnacentral:rRNA from 1 species
AUACGGAGGAUCCGAGCGUUAUCCGGAUUUAUUGGGUUUAAAGGGUGCGCAGGCGGGAGAUUAAGUCGGCGGUGAAAUUUUGCAGCUCAACUGUAAAAGUGCCUUCGAAACUGGUUUCCUUGAGUGUAGAUGAAGUAGGCGGAAUUUGUGGUGUAGCGGUGAAAUGCAUAGAUAUCACGAGGAACUCCGAUUGCGCAGGCAGCUUACUAAACUACUACUGACGCUCAUGCACGAAGGCGUGGGGAUCAAACAGGAUUAGAUACCCUGGUAGUCCACGCAGUAAACGAUGAUUACUAGUUGUUUGCGAUAUACAGUAAGCGACUGAGCGAAAGCGUUAAGUAAUCCACCUGGGGAGUACGUUCGCAAGAAUGAAACUCAAAGGAAUUGGCGGGG